rnacentral:rRNA from 1 species
GUCCUUAGUUACCAGCACGGUUAUGGUGGGCACUCUAAGGGGACUGCCGGUGACAACCGGAGGAAGGUGGGGAUGACGUCAAGUCAUCAUGGCCCUUACGGCCUGGGCUACACACGUGCUACAAUGGUCGGUACAAAGGGUUGCCAAGCCGCGAGGUGGAGCUAAUCCCAUAAAACCGAUCGUAGUCCGGAUCGCAGUCUGCAACUCGACUGCGUGAAGUCGGAAUCGCUAGUAAUCGUGAAUCAGAAUGUCACGGUGAAUACGUUCCCGGGCCUU